AACAUCGCCCUUUGAAAAAAUAAUUAUAAAGGGUACUGCCUGCCCAGUGAUAAAAAUUAAACGGCCGCGGUACUUUGACCGUGCAAAGGUAGCAUAAUCAUUUGUUCUUUAAUUGAGGACUAGUAUGAAAGGCAAAACGAAAGCUUAACUGUCUCCUUUUUAAAAAAUAAAAUUAAUAUUUUUGUGAAGAAGCAAAAAUAAUAAAGUAAGACGAGAAGACCCUGUCGAGCUUAAGAAAAUUUUUAUAAUAAAAUUUUUUAAAGAUAAACAAAUUUUACUACAAAAAUAAAAUAAAAAUAUCUUUGGUUGGGGCAACCACGAAGAAAAAAAAACCUUCGUUCAAAAAAAGAAAUUUACAAAUUUAAAAAUUAUUUAAAAUUCAAAAGAUCCAGAAAAUUCUGAUCAUAGAAAAAAGUUACCGCAGGGAUAACAGCGUUAUUCUCUUUAAGAGCUCUUAUUGACAAGAGAGUUUGCGACCUCGAUGUUGGACCGGGGCACCCAAGAGGUGUAGAAGCCUCUAAAGGUAGGUCUGUUCGACCUUUAAAGCCCUACGUGAU
rnacentral:rRNA from 1 species